UACGUAGGGGGCAAGCGUUGUCCGGAAUUAUUGGGCGUAAAGAGCGUGUAGGCGGUCCGAUAAGUCGGCUGUGAAAGUCCAGGGCUCAACCCUGGGAUGCCGGUCGAUACUGUCGGACUAGAGUUCGGAAGAGGCGAGUGGAAUUCCCGGUGUAGCGGUGAAAUGCGCAGAUAGUCGGGAGGAACACCUAUGGCGAAGGCAGCUCGCUGGGACGUUACUGACGCUGAGACGCGAAAGCGUGGGGAGCAAACAGG
rnacentral:rRNA from 1 species